UACGUAGGGUGCAGGCGUUAUCCGGAAUUAUUGGGCGUAAAGAGCUCGUAGGCGGUUUGUCGCGUCUGCUGUGAAAACUGGGGGCUCAACCCCCAGCCUGCAGUGGGUACGGGCAGACUAGAGUGCGGUAGGGGAGAUUGGAAUUCCUGGUGUAGCGGUGGAAUGCGCAGAUAUCAGGAGGAACACCGAUGGCGAAGGCAGAUCUCUGGGCCGUAACUGACGCUGAGGAGCGAAAGCAUGGGGAGCGAACAGG
rnacentral:rRNA from 1 species